GAUGAACGCUAGCUACAGGCUUAACACAUGCAAGUCGAGGGGCAGCAUGAACUUAGCUUGCUAAGUUUGAUGGCGACCGGCGCACGGGUGAGUAACACGUAUCCAACCUUCCGUUUACUCAGGGAUAGCCUUUCGAAAGAAAGAUUAAUACCUGAUAGUAUGGUGAGAUUGCAUGAUAACACCAUUAAAAGAUUUAUCGGUGUACGAUGGGGAUGCGUUCCAUUAGGUAGUAGGCGGGGUAACGGCCCACCUAGCCGACGAUGGAUAGGGGUUCUGAGAGGAAGGUCCCCCCACAUUGGAACUGAGACACGGUCCAAACUCCUACGGGAGGCAGCAGUGAGGAAUAUUGGUCAAUGGACGAGAGUCUGAACCAGCCAAGUAGCGUGAAGGAUGAAGGUCCUACGGAUUGUAAACUUCUUUUAUAAGGGAAUAAACCCUCCCACGUGUGGGAGCUUGUAUGUACCUUAUGAAUAAGCAUCGGCUAACUCCGUG
rnacentral:rRNA from 1 species